rnacentral:rRNA from 1 species
GUGCCAGCAGCCGCGGUAAAACGUAGGUGGCAAGCGUUAUCCGGAUUCACUGGGCGUAAAGCGCCUGCAGGCGGUCCUGUAAGUGGGACGUGAAAUCUCUUGGCUUAACUGAGAGAGGUCGUUCCAUACUGCGGGACUGGAGGGCAGAAGAGGGAAGCGGAAUUCCCGGUGUAGUGGUGAAAUGCGUAGAUAUCGGGAGGAACACCAGUGGCGAAGGCGGCUUCCUGGCCUGCUCCUGACGCUAAGAGGCGAAAGCUAGGGGAGCGAACGGGAUUAGAAACCCCUGUAGUCC